CCUACGGGAGGCAGCAGUGGGGAAUAUUGCACAAUGGGGGAAACCCUGAUGCAGCAACGCCGCGUGAAGGAUGACGGUUUUCGGAUUGUAAACUUCUUUUCUUAGUGACGAAGACAGUGACGGUAGCUAAGGAAUAAGCAUCGGCUAACUACGUGCCAGCAGCCGCGGUAAUACGUAGGAUGCAAGCGUUAUCCGGAUUUACUGGGUGUAAAGGGAGCGCAGGCGGGACUGCAAGUUGGAUGUGAAAUACCGUGGCUUAACCACGGAACUGCAUCCAAAACUGUAGUUCUUGAGUGAAGUAGAGGCAAGCGGAAUUCCGAGUGUAGCGGUGAAAUGCGUAGAUAUUCGGAGGAACACCAGUGGCGAAGGCGGCUUGCUGGGCUUUAACUGACGCUGAGGCUCGAAAGUGUGGGGAGCAAACAGGAUUAGAUACCCUGGUAGUCCACACUGUAAACGAUGAUUACUAGGUGUUGGAGGAUUGACCCCUUCAGUGCCGCAGUUAACACAAUAAGUAAUCCACCUGGGGAGUACGACCGCAAGGUUGAAACUCAAAGGAAUUGACGGGGGCCCGCACAAGCAGUGGAUUAUGUGGUUUAAUUCGAAGCAACGCGAAGAACCUUACCAGGUCUUGACAUCCGACUAACGAGAUAGAGAUAUGUCAGGUGCCCUUCGGGGAAAGUCGAGACAGGUGGUGCAUGGUUGUCGUCAGCUCGUGUCGUGAGAUGUUGGGUUAAGUCCCGCAACGAGCGCAACCCCUGCCAUUAGUUGCUACGCAAGAGCACUCUAAUGGGACCGCUACCGACAAGGUGGAGGAAGGUGGGGACGACGUCAAAUCAUCAUGCCCCUUAUGACCUGGGCUACACACGUAAUACAAUGGCCGUUAACAGAGGGAAGCAAAGCGGUGACGCAGAGCAAAACCCUAAAAACGGUCCCAGUUCGGACUGUAGGCUGCAACCCGCCUACACGAAGUUGGAAUUGCUAGUAAUCGCGGAUCAGCAUGCCGCGGUGAAUACGUUCCCGGGCCUUGUACACACCGCCCGUCACACCAUGAGAGCCGGGGGGACCCGAAGUCGGUAGUCUAACCGCAAGGAGGACGCCGCCGAAGGUAAAACUGGUGAUUGGGGUGAAGUCGUAACAAGGUAGCCGUAGGAGAACCUGCGGCUG
rnacentral:rRNA from 1 species